rnacentral:rRNA from 1 species
CAGUAGCCGCGGUAAUACGAAGGGUGCAAGCGUUACUCGGAAUUACUGGGCGUAAAGCGUGCGUAGGUGGUUGUGUAAGACAGGUGUGAAAUCCCCGGGCUCAACCUGGGAAUGGCAGUGGAUACUGGCUCGCUAGAGUGUGUCAGAGGAUGGUGGAAUUCCCGGUGUAGCGGUGAAAUGCGUAGAGAUCGGGAGGAACAUCAGUGGCGAAGGCGGCCAUCUGGGACAACACUGACGCUGAGGCACGAAAGCGUGGGGAGCAAACAGGAUUAGAUACCCCAGUAGUCCCUGUCUCUUAUAC